ensembl:ncRNA F53B7.10 ncRNA
AUUCCCCCCUAAAUUUGAAAAAAUUGCCAUGAGCAAUAGUUGAAAGAAAAAAGGGUUCCGUAUUGAAUUGAAAAGUGUGCGGAUUAUCUAUAUUUCAUUGCAGUGUGAAACAAAAGAAUCGACGAUAGGACACGACUUUUUCA